GACGAACGCUGGCGGCGUGCCUAAUACAUGCAAGUCGAGCGAAGCGGCGGAUGGGUGAGUAACGCGUGGGUAACCUGCCCUUCAGUAUGGAAUACCAUUUGGAAACAGAUCCUAAUACCCGAUACAAAAGGAUGGACCUGCGAUGCAUUAGCUAGUUGGUAAGGUAACGGCUUACAAAGGCGAUGAGGCAUAGCCGAGUUGCUAGACUGAUCGGCCACAUUGGGACUGAGACACGGCCCAAACUCCUACGGGAGGCAGCAGGAGGGAAGCUUCCAGAAGGGACGAAAGUCUGAUGGAGCAACGCCGCGUGAGUGAAGAAGGGUUUCGGAUCGUAAAGCUCUGUUGUUGGUGAAGCGGUAAUCAACCAGAAAGUCACGGCUAACUACGUGCCAGCAGCCGCGGUAAUAC
rnacentral:rRNA from 1 species